GGACAGCAUCCUGACGGCUAAGCCCCCACGGAGACAAGCAGAGCUCUGCAAAGGCAGGACCAUCAGCUACAGAGCAAGGAGGAGCUGAAAAGCUUUGGUGGUUGGAGCACAGAAUAGAUGCUCAGUAAAUGAUACGGGAUGUUAUUCACUGUCUUCAGCUCAAACCUGAGAUGAUGUGCUGGCGCAGUGGUGGCGCACGCCCUUAAUCUCAGCACUUGGGAGGCAGAGACAGGCGGAUUUCUGAGUUCGAGGCCAGCGUGGUCUACAGAGUGAGUUCCAGGACGGUCAGAGCUACACAGAGAAACCCUGUCUUGAAAAAAAAAAAAAAAGAACCCAGAGGAUGUGUGUGCCCCCACUUUGGAUCGGACCCAAGACCCUAAGACCCAAGACCCAACAUGGAGUUAGCAGCUGCUAGCCUCCUUCCAGAGCCUGUACAAGCUGCUUCCCUGAAGUAGUAAGCAAGGGGGGUCAGAUGAAACCCGAAAGCUCCCUGUCUCUGGGUAUGAAGAGAGCAGGGGCACAAUUGGUGGGGUACCCAAAGAUUCCCCCCACGGUGGGACAAGAGGAAUGGGGAUUCGAACAGAAGGAAGCAGGUGGGCUGUAAGUUAGGAAGCUGGAAUAUUUUAGGUUGUCUUUGUUUUUAAAGCAUUGAUGUGUGUGAGUGUUUUGCCUGUAGGUGUGUAGGUGUGCCACACUGGUGCAUGCCUGGUGCCCAGGAGUUGAGGAGGAGAGGCUCCCCUGCAUUAACUAGGAUUACAGAUGAUUGUAGACUGCCGUGUGGGUACUGGGAAUCAAACCUGCGUUCUCUGCAAAGGCAAAAAGUGCUCAUACCUGCUCAGCCAUCUCUCAAUGGGCCAAAUUUUUAACCCACAAAAACUUCAACCCCACCAGGUCGUUCAUCCUUAAAGCAGGGGAGGGUAGGAAAGCUUUUAAACAGAGAUGCCUGCAUCUUGAAGGUAAGGGUAAAAACAGCCCUAGGAAGUACCUGUGUGGUACACAGGUUGGGCAAGGAGCAAGUUCCUUCUCUCAAUAAAGAAGAAGGAAAGCCUACUAUUAAGUAAGUCUCCCAGAUGUUGGGAAAGGUGCCUGAUACCCUACACUCCUCCUUCCUGUGCCGACUCCCAAGAGAGCUGUGGUCUGCUGCACAAGAAAUUCAUUGUGUGUUUUUGUUGGAGACAGGGUCUCUUGUAACCCAGACUAGCCUCAAACUCCCUCUACACAGCCAAAGAUGACCUUGAACGUGUGAACCUCCUGUGGCUUUAUAAUUACAGGCACGGACCAAAUUACCUGGUUUAUGUGGUGUUGGAUCUAAUGUGGAAAUGUCCUCCUACUUUUGCAAAAGCCUGGCAGUGCCCAUGUGAAACCAGAUGCACUACCACUGAGCCACACGCCCAGCCCCUCACUGGGGGAUUCUAGGCAGGGGCUCUACCACUGAG
rnacentral:lncRNA from 1 species